GGUCCUAUUACAUCAGGUAGAAAUUGGGGAAGAAAAGUCCCAGGAACAGCAUGAAAAAGGCACUGAGGACCAGAGUAUAGGACAGGCAUGAAGGAUAGUCCAUGAUUCCUCUGGUACGGCAGGGUAGGGUAGGAAUGGGGUAAGGGCGUCACCAAAACUAGGAGGCCCAACAAGCCUGGGCCGCUGAAGCCUUAUCUAGAACAAGCUUAGAAGUUGCCCCUCCAGCGCCCUCCCUGCUUUGUGUCAGCUGUCACGGACAGCACCUCUGUUUGUGCCAGGCCCCUCUCCUUAUCAGGACCUUGACUGCUGCCCAAGGCCCCUGACCUACUGAGACAAAGCCUUCCCUUACUCCAGGGAGGGCUCCCUCAACCUUGGCGCUAUUGAUGUUCAGGGCAAGAAAAUUCUUUGCUGUGGAAGGCUCUCUGUCUUGUGCACAGCACCGUGUCCCCAGUGUGACAGCCAAAAAGGUCUCCAGACUUUGCCAAACGUCCCUAACGGGAGUAAAAUCACCCCCAGUGAAGAACCAUUGCUCCGGGACCCCCCUCCCUGGGCCUAGGUGUGGGCCUCCUCGGAUUCUUUAUAAGCAUGGACCAGCGGCCUCACAUGCUCGCAGAGGGCAGCCCUCCUCCCUCCUUCUGGCUGCUUCUGGGGAUGGACGGGCAGAGCUGCCUCCCGGGCUAACAUGAUCACCCAGGAAGAGCCGGUCCCCACCAGGAAAUGGAUCCUAAUUGCCUCGCUGCAGCACGUGAGAAGACGGAUGUACCGGCCUCCACGCCUGGCACCCACUGCCACCCCCAUCCAUUACUGUGCAGGACAAACACGCACCUCCUCAGGACCCGAGGCAUCAGUUUUUUAAUAAUGACAAAUCUCCGUGAUUUUCCAGAAGGUCAGCCGGCCUGGGGCAGAGAGGAGCUGCCUGAUACAGUGAUGCAGACACAGAUGAGAUUUCAACUCCAGUCUGUCAGGCCCGAUUCCAAAGCGAAAGGUAUUAACGUCACACCCUGUCAAUUACAUCCAAAUUCUGCUGACACCCGGAGCUUUGAGGAGUGGAAGAUCACUAAUGAUGUGGGAGCUGUUCCCUUCCCUACAAGCAAGGAGAACGGCUGCCCCAUGCUGUGCCACCUUCAAAAAACACACCAUCUGAACUUUUGGUCACCGGAUGAAAGAUUAAUAAGGAGGUUCUGCUGUCCUUGGGGGUGACAAUUACCCUUUAGACACCGACUCCGGUUAUCUUCCUCAUUAGAGAUUAUUAACCUCCUCUUCCCACGCCUAUUGUUAGGACCCAGGAAGGGGCUGCUUUGUAGAUCCUGUUCUGCGUCAAUAAUUACCCAUCGUGGGAGAGGAGCACCUGUAAUGGAAAUCUUCUUAAUUUCCAGCAUUUGCCAAGCGCUUUAUAUUUGCAAACUCCCCAAAACCUCUAUUCACCGAGUUCAUUAGAUUCGCUUUUCUGGGUGAAUCCAAAAGCCACUUUGAUGAUAUAAUCAUUAUACUUUGCAUUAGUGCUUUUCUCCGGGAUAUCAGAACAAUUUCUAGCUAUUUAUCCAAUCCACCUCGCUUGUGAGACCAGAGGCCGGGCGUCAUGGCAGAAAGAAAAAAGCCUGGAUUUUUAUUGUCUCUGCCUCACCAAAACUGGAACUUCUGGAGAGGUUACGGUUUCUACCGCUGUGUAACGACCAGAGCUUUCCCACCCUGCACACAUUUGUCAUCUGUAGGUCGGAAGUCUGGACACGGCUUAGCUGGGCCCUCUGCUUUGGGUGUCCCCAGGCUGCAAUCCAGCCGGGGUCAGGGCUGCGGGCUCAUCAGAGGCUCAGCCGGGGAAAGGUCUGCAUCAGCCUCCUUCCGGUUGUUGGCGGAGGUCAUCUCUUUGUAUCUCAAGGACUGAGAUGACCAUUUCCUUGCCGGCUGUCAGCCAGGGGCCACUUGCAGCUCCCAAAGGCCACCGAUGCUUCUUUGCUUACAAGCCUUCUCACAACAUACUAGCUUACUCCUCCGAAGCAGAAAACCCCUCUCUCUUUGUUUUUUUCUGCAGCCUGCGGAGACAGAAUUUUAUAUAGUGAAAUAGAACCAUGGGCGCGACAUCCCAUCACCUUUGCCACAUUCUAUUGUUCAGAAGCAAGGCACCGGUCCUGCUCGCCCUCGAGGGGAGGGGAUGGCACGAAGGUGUGGACACCUGGAGGCGGGCUAUCCCUGGGGAUCGCCUUAGGGUCUGUCCGUCCCAUUAAGCAGAGAACCCAAGGUCACAGUAAUUGGUAAUUCAGAGCUCUGGCCAGUGUGUCCAGAACCUUCAACGUCUCUGUGCUCAUGUCCCAGGGUGGUGCCUUUCUGCCUCAGUGCCCACGUGUGUGCACACGCUCGUCUCUCCUCGUGCACCCACGCCACCUGGCACACGGCGCCACCCCCGGCAUUGCCCAUGACCCACGGCCUCCCGUCUUCCAUCAGAAGAGGUGUAUCAGUACAGGCGAGGCUGGAGUUGGGGGUCCGGCUCGGGGGGGCGGGUGGGGUGCAAGCGUGACACUUCACACUAAGCAACAGACAUUGAGUCAAUGAGUCGCACACUUGGAAGAGAACUUGGCACCCUGCGAGAGCUGAAUCCAGGCUUUCUAUUUCUGCCAUCCCUGAAAAGGAACUUGUAAGUCAAAGUUAGACCAACCUGGCUUCAAACACACAAGAGGCAUAUACACCAAAAGACUGUGAAUGUGGGGGUGACUUUUCUUAAAUAGAAAUAGAUUCAUAAAGCAAAGCCUCACUCCUUUAUUUAUUUAUUUAUGUGUCUUUGUUUCUUUUGUAUUUUCGUGUCAGGGCACUGGGCCGAAUGCUUUCCUAGAUUAAGACAUUUCGUCCUCACGGUGACUCUUCUAGAGACUGAGUUUUAUUUGCCACAGUUUCCAAAGCAGGACUGCAGGUGACCCAAGAGGUUAAGGGACUUGCUAAGGCCAUACAGGCUGCAGGUGGCCACCCGUGACCCCCAAAUCCAUAUUUUGAAACAUUCAAGCACCCUGCCUCUUCCUUUCUUCACCCACAAUUUUUCAGAUUUUGCCUGUACCUGUCACACUGGAUCCUACGUUUGAUCGUCCAGCUUCUUCCCCAGCCUUGUUGCAUGACUGGGGGACACCAGCCAUACCCUCAGAGAGUAUUAGGAUCCAGACUCUGUCUCGGAUUCUGUCACACACACGCGUGCACACACACACACACACACACACAUGCUCAUACUUUCAGACACAGCCUCUCUUAGAGGAAACAGACCAGGGGCGCCUGGGUGGCUCAGUCAGUUAAGCUUCUGACUUCGGCUCAGGUCAUGAUCUCACGGUCCGUGGGUUCGAGCCCCACGUCGGGCUCUGUGCUGACGGCUCGGAGCCUGGAGCCUGCUUCCGAUUCUGUGUCUCCCUCUGUCUGCCUCCCCCCUGCUCACAUUCUGCCUCUCAAAAAUAAAUAGAAAACGUUAAAAAAAAAAAAAAAGGAA
ensembl:lncRNA